GGGCUGUUGGGCCUUACACGGCCAGGUCAUGUAACAUUCUAGAUAACAUCUCUCGUAUCAUACAACAUCAAUACAUUUGUAGUGUUUUCCAAGGCUAGGCUGUGUGAUUAUCUAGAUAGAAUCACACUAAGCAUACAAAAUUAACAAGGUUGAGGGGUUUUACAUGCCCAGGAAGUGUGAUCUUCUGAAUCCAAAGCACUUCUUACACGGCCAGGCCGUGUAACACACUAUCUCCGCUUCACCCCCUCUGUUGUAAGACGCUUCUUUUGUCCUCCAGAUAUACCCCUUAACAUUGCAUUGCCCACUAUGAUAUCUGCACAGACUUCCAGUCCUAGAAUCUUUAGAACAUAAUCUGUGAUCACAUUGGCCGCCUGACCUUCCGUUGCUACGGCCUUCAUGAAGACAUCAAUAUCUGGAUCUGGCUUAAUAUUUGCUGCUUUCUCUCUUUUCAAUAAUUCUGCCAUCAACUCAUGACGAAAUCCAACUCCUUGACAUCUUGCAGAGAAUGCCAAAGUUUCCCUGACAGUCAUUUCUGCAAUAUGGACGUCAUAUUGACUGACAUAGGCAGCUGUUCUCUGGGGUAU
rnacentral:misc_RNA from 1 species